GACGAACCGUGCGAACGUUAUUCGGAUUCACUGGGCUUAAAGGGCGCGUAGGCGGACUCGCCAGUCCGGGGUGAAAUCUUUCGGCUUAACCGGAAAAGUGCCUUGGAUACUGCGAGUCUUGAGGAAGGUAGGGGCAUGUGGAACUUCCGGUGGAGCGGUGAAAUGCGUUGAUAUCGGAAGGAACGCCGGUGGCGAAAGCGACGUGCUAGCCCUUUUCUGACGCUGAGGCGCGAAAGCCAGGGGAGCAAACGGGAUUAGAUACCCCGGUAGUCCUGGCCCUAAACGAUGGGUACUAGGUAGUGGGCUUGCAUGGGCUCACUGCCGAAGCAAAAGUGAUAAGUACCCCGCCUGGGGAGUAUGGUCGCAAGGCUGAA
rnacentral:rRNA from 1 species